rnacentral:rRNA from 1 species
UGGGGAAUAUUGGACAAUGGGCGAAAGCCUGAUCCAGCCAUGCCGCGUGUGUGAAGAAGGUCUUCGGAUUGUAAAGCACUUUAAGUUGGGAGGAAGGGCAGUAAGCGAAUACCUUGCUGUUUUGACGUUACCGACAGAAUAAGCACCGGCUAACUCUGUGCCAGCAGCCGCGGUAAUACAGAGGGUGCAAGCGUUAAUCGGAAUUACUGGGCGUAAAGCGCGCGUAGGUGGUUCGUUAAGUUGAAUGUGAAAGCCCCGGGCUCAACCUGGGAACUGCAUCCAAAACUGGCGAGCUAGAGUAGGGCAGAGGGUGGUGGAAUUUCCUGUGUAGCGGUGAAAUACGUAGAUAUAGGAAGGAAGACCAGUGGCGAAGGAGACCACCUGGGCUCAUACUGACACUGAGGUGCGAAAGCGUGGGGAGCAAACAGG